rnacentral:rRNA from 1 species
CCUACGGGUGACAGCAGUGAGGAAUAUUGGUCAAUGGCCGCAGGGCUGAACCAGCCAAGUCGCGUGAGGGAUGACGGUCCUAUGGAUUGUAAACCUCUUUUGUCAGGGAGCAAAGUGCGCCACGUGUGCCGCUUUGCGAGUACCUGACGAACAAGCAUCGGCAAACCCCGUGCCAGCAGCCGCGGUAAUACGGAGGCUGCGUGCGUUAUCCGGAUUUAUUGGGUUAAAGGGGUGCGCGGGCGGAAUGUCAAGUCAGCGGUAAAAUUUCGGGGCUCAACCCCGGCGUGCCGUUGAAACUGGCGUUCUUGAGUGAGCGAGAGGUAGGCGGAAUGCGUGGUGUAGCGGUGAAAUGCAUAGAUAUCACGCAGAACUCCGAUGGCGAAGGCAGCAUACCGGAGCUCAACUGACGCUCAUGCACGAAGGCGUGGGUAUCGAACAGGAUUAGAUACCCGAGUAGUC